rnacentral:rRNA from 1 species
GAUGAACGCUGGCGGCGUGCCUAAUACAUGCAAGUCGAGCGAACAGACGAGGAGCUUGCUCCUCUGACGUUAGCGGCGGACGGGUGAGUAACACGUGGAUAACCUACCUAUAAGACUGGGAUAACUUCGGGAAACCGGAGCUAAUACCGGAUAAUAUAUUGAACCGCAUGGUUCAAUAGUGAAAGACGGUUUUGCUGUCACUUAUAGCUGGAUCCGCGCCGCAUUAGCUAGUUGGUAAGGUAACGGCUUACCAAGGCAACGAUGCGUAGCCGACCUGAGAGGGUGAUCGGCCACACUGGAACUGAGACACGGUCCAGACUCCUACGGGAGGCAGCAGUAGGGAAUCUUCCGCAAUGGGCGAAAGCUUGACGGAGCAACGCCGCGUGAGUGAUGAAGGUCUUCGGAUCGUAAAACUCUGUUAUUAGGGAAGAACAAAUGUGUAAGUAACUAUGCACGUCUUGACGGUACCUAAACAGAAAGCCACGGCUAACUACGUG